rnacentral:rRNA from 1 species
AACGAACGCUGGCGGCAUGCCUAACACAUGCAAGUCGAACGAGACCUUCGGGUCUAGUGGCGCACGGGUGCGUAACGCGUGGGAACCUGCCCUUAGGUUCGGAAUAACUCCCCGAAAGGGGUGCUAAUACCGGAUAAUGUCUUCGGACCAAAGAUUUAUCGCCUUUGGAUGGGCCCGUGUUGGAUUAGCUAGUUGGUAGGGUAAAAGCCUACCAAGGCGACGAUCCAUAGCUGGUCCGAGAGGAUGAUCAGCCACACUGGGACUGAGACACGGCCCAGACUCCUACGGGAGGCAGCAGUGGGGAAUAUUGGAAAAUGGGCGAAAGCCUGAUCCAGCAAUGCCGCGUGAGUGAUGAAGGCCUUAGGGUUGUAAAGCUCUUUUACCCGGGAUGAUAAUGACAGUACCGGGAGAAUAAGCUCCGGCUAACUCCGUG